rnacentral:piRNA from 2 species
AUUUGUGGUAGUGGGGGACUGCG